CAGCGCGAAGGCGCGAUGUUUUCGAGUUUUCAUAUUAUUAUGAUAAAUAAAACUUUCCUAGUGAGAUUUAAGAGUGGGUAUAUAUUAUCUAUGCAUUCUACGAGCUUUCUUUCAACAAAUUGUGGAAUAGCUAACGGUAAUACUUAUCAAAGAUCGAAGGACGAAGAUCAAACUGAGAGAAAACUAGUCGAGUGAUAAUAAACUGUCUGUUUUGUAUCCAAUGCAGCUGCUUGUGUGCGACGUUUUAUAAAGAAUUAAAUAAACAUUGUUGAUUAUAAGUAAUUUUUAUGUAUUGACCAAAGAAUAUCACUUGGGAUUUUAUUGUACUUUUAUGGAAGGAUAAAUCAGAGGGGACAUCUAUGGAAACGAAAUUCUUCAUGUGUAUUAAACAUGUAGUUAAUAUCAAAGCAGAAUAUUUUGAAACAAUUAACUGGUCGAGUGACAGGUUGGUUUCCGUAUGUAUGU
rnacentral:lncRNA from 1 species